ACGCUGCCUUCGAGCCCCCACCACGCACCUGCACGUGGUGGUGAAGGUCGGGCUUCAGGGCCCAAGUGUGUGCUCGUGCGGGACUGGGGCUGCCCCCACGGCGCAGGUGGCCUUUUCAAUUGUGAGCACCAUGG